GGAAGGGAGGAAGCGUAGAAGGUGCCGAUGCACUUUUCCUCUCUCCAGCCCUCCUGACUGCUCCAAGAAUUUCAUCGAACAAGACUCAAAGAGGCCCAGCUGCUCUGCGUUUUGAUUCUUCUCCCUCUCUCAGUCCACACUGACCUGGGAGGGGCUUCUCAAACACCACAUUUCCUAGCGUGCUGUGAGAAGAGGACUGUGAGCUAAGAAGGGAGAAAAGGCACUCCCUCCUCAUCAACAAACACCUGACCUGGGUAGACCCUCUGCUUACCAAGAUCCAGUCCACCUUUUGACAUCAGCAUUCAUGCUGCCUCUUUUUACGAACCAAGCCAAAGUGGUCCCUUCCUCUGGAAAUUAUAGGAUACUUAAUGUACAUCAUAUCCAGGUAUGAUACUAGAACUUUAAGCCUGGUAAGUUAGUUACAUUUUAUAAAAGCAUCUUAUCCUAAGAUUAUAAAUUGAUGACAAGCAAGAACUGAUAGUACCCAGCAUGUGUGAUAUCCGUAAGUUUGAUGAACUGAUGAAUGGAUUACAUGACAAUAAUCUGUCCAUCAUGGAUAGAAAAAGAACACUACUAUUCUCAUAUCUGCUGUACCCAUAUUCAUCUUCAUAAAAAAUGUUUCAAGUUUUACAAUGGAGAAAUAAAGGUGUUUCCAUCCACUUCCCUCUAAAAUUACCCCCAAACAGGAUAAAAAAACAAAAACACAAACUCCAUCUUCCAUGAAACAA
rnacentral:lncRNA from 1 species